rnacentral:misc_RNA from 1 species
GGAAGGAUCAUUAUCACGUAUCCACGUACUAACUCCUGUGAACCUAACCUCUUGGGUGCAAGGUGGCGUAGACAUUAUCCCUUUCUUUCGUGAUUUAAGGACGUAGUCUGCGCCUGGUGUAAAACCAAGCCUUGUGCUCUUGAGCGUAUGUUUUAAACCACGAUAUUUUAACCUUAUUAACAACUUGUACCUUUAGAACUGAUUUGUUUCAUGUCCUUUCCGCAAGGAAAUGCUUGAAAUAUUGUACGAAACGCAAAACAACUCUUAGCAACGGAUAUCUUGGUUCCCAUAACGAUGAAGAACGCAGCGAAAUGCGAUACGUAAUGCGAAUUGCAGAAUUCAGUGAAUCAUCAAAUCUUUGAACGCAAAUUGCGCUCUCAGGAUAGGCCUGGGAGCACGCCUCUUUGAGCAUCGUUUCUAACUCAACUCGACUGCGUGUUUUCGGAUGCGUUAGUCGGAAAUGAGUUGUCUCACUGCUUGCAGUGGGUCACUUUAAAGAAGCGAGUUUUCCAGAACUCCUAGUGUUAUGUGCUCUUUCGGGAGUGCAGCCUUCAGAGGUUGCCGGCACUGGUGACGUGGAUACUGUUUUGGUUUUCGAACCACUACUCUUUUUCAACGUCGCCGGAGUUGGUGAGCGCUGCGGGUCAAGCAUUUAGGUAACUUGGAAUCGAUGAGAAAUAUUAAUUCUUCGGAGUUAAUUUUUUGAAUUAGAUCUCAAAAAUGAAGCGAGAGAACCCGCUGAACUUAAGCAUAUUAUUAAGCGGAGGAAAAGAAACUAACAAGGAUGCCCUCAGUAACGGCGAGUGAAGCGGGCAAAGCUCAACCUGAAAAUCGGGAACCUUUCGGGUUCUCGAAUUGUGGGCUAGAGACGUAAUAUCAGCGUGUGACCCAGGUAUAAAUCUUUUGAAACAAGGUAUCAUAGAGGGUGAGAAUCCCGUCUUUGACCUGGAGCUUUGCCGCGUACGAUAUGCGUUCAUAGAGUCGAGUUGUUUGGGAUUGCAGCUCUAAAUGGGUGGUAAAUUUCAUCUAAAGCUAAAUAUUGAUGGGAGACCGAUAGCGAACAAGUACCGUGAGGGAAAGAUGAAAAGAACUUUGAAAAGAGAGUUAAAAAGUACUUGAAAUUGCUAAGAGGGAAGCACUGGAAACCAGUCGUGCCUGAAUUUUAUAUUUACCAUCCGCUUUCGAUCCGGCUCUUGUCCUGUGCGUAAGCCUGGCUGGUGUCGGUGAAAAGGGCGGGUGGGUCCUGUAAUGUUGGGUGAGUCAGAAUCAAUUUGAUUCGUGGGAGAAAGCUUUGGGAACGGUAGGACGGCGGGUUUCGGCCCAAAGUCUGUUUAGUCCCUUAGUGCUACCAUGGAUUGGAUUGAGGGACAAUCGAAAUACGCACCACUAGGUUAUCGGUUCCCCGAGCCUGGCUGAUUAACUGCCUUGGACAACAAAGUUGUGCGGGUGGUGAAGUUGGCUACUGCAAGGGAUGAACCAGACGCAGUAUUCGAGAUUCUGACGAAAUGGUUUUCAUUGACCCGUCUUGAAACACGGACCAAGGAGUCUAACAUAUAUGCGAGUAUUUGGGCUAGAAAACCCUUAUGCGUAAUGAAAGUGAAGGCAGUCUUCGAUUGCUGAGGUAGGAAUCUUUGCUCUCGGGUAAAGAGGCACUAUCGACCGAUCAGUCACUUGUGUCAGAUUUGAGUAAGAGCAUAUCUGUUGGGACCCGAAAGAUGGUGAUCUAUGCCUGAACAGGGCGAAGCCAGGGGAAACUCUGGUGGAGGCUCGUAGCGAUACUGACGUGCAAAUCGUUCGUCUGAUUUGGGUAUAGGGGCGAAAGACUAAUCGAACCAUCUAGUAGCUGGUUCCCUC